rnacentral:rRNA from 1 species
UAAGGAAUAUUGCUCAAUGGGAGAAAUCCUGAAGCAGCAACGCCGCGUGGAGGAUGAAGGGUCUAUGACUUGUAAACUCCUGUAAAGAAGGAAAAAAUUCCCAUUAGAUGGGAGAUGAUGGUACUUCUGGAGUAAGCCCCGGCUAACUACGUGCCAGCAGCCGCGGUAAUACGUAGGGGGCAAGCGUUGUCCGGAUUUACUGGGUGUAAAGGGUGCUCAGGCGGAUUUGUAAGUCAGAGGUGAAAUCUUACAGCUUAACUGUGAAACUGCCUUUGAUACUGCAAGCCUAGAGUAUGGAAGAGAGCGAUGGAAUAUCUGGUGUAGCAGUGAAAUGCGUAGAUAUCAGAUAGAACACCAAUGGCGAAGGCAGUCACUUGGUCCAUUACUGACGCUAAAGCACGAAAGCGUGGGUAGCAAACA